UCUUGGGAAACUACAUUUUGUUGUAAUCGGUGGGUGCCACUCCCGGGGCCCUGAACCGAAUGUGCAAGGGAGACUGGAGGUUGUGAAAUCCUGGAGGUUGUGAAGUCGGAAGAUGCCGCGUCGCUGCGGAUCUUGCGCUGGUCUUACCUGUCUGUCCUCCCAGCAUGGUUAAAGUUUAGAAGACCCGAUGAAUUAUUGCUCUACUGUAGGGCAUACUGGAGAAAUUAGCAGACAUCUGUGGAUCUUCCUUCUCUGUCAUUUGAGUUUUCAUCUGUCUGUUGACCCUCUUGAAUGGGAUCCUUGCAACCUUGGAUUUUGCUUGUUUAUCAUCCAGAUCUGGGGUGUCGUGGACCUAUCAACAAUUGGUGAAGAAAUAAUGUUAUAUAUGUUAGACUCUAUUGGAGGUGUGGUGCCCCCCUUGUUGGCUGCCUGGGAUAAACAUCAUUCCAAGUUCCUUUGAGGGAGACUCCCUUGAGAUUGUCAGGGAAGGAAUUUGGGGUUUGCAAUGUCUAUGUCAUGACUCCCCCUCUUUUGGCUUCAGACUAUACAUUAGGCUGUUGAUCUCAUGGCACUCUCUGAAGGUCAGGGGCAAGGCAGACAGCUGGAAGGAUGGCUGUAAGGGCAGGAAGAUGGCUGUGGGGAAGGAAAGGCACACAGGACGGGAUCCACACCUGGG